rnacentral:lncRNA from 1 species
CUCUUCUAAUUUUUUCUCUUCUUCUACUUCUCCUCUUCUUCUAUUUUUCCUCUUCUUCUCCUUUCCUCCUCUUCUUAUUCUCCCUUUUCUUCUUUUCUUCUCCUCCUCUUCUUAUUUUCCUUUUCCCUAAUUCUACAUAUUACUAACCCUAAUAAUCUAGCACAAACCUAAUAACAAUAGGAAUUAAAUGACAAAAAAA